AACAGCCAGGCUUGUUAUUCCUCACACAUUCUACAGGGAGGAGACUGUAGGACAACACAAUAACAUCUGCAGUAACAGCCAGGCUUGUUAUUCCUCACACAUUCUACAGGGAGGAGACUGUAGGACAACACAAUAACAUCUGCAGUAACAGCCAGGCUUGUUAUUCCCCACACAUUCUACAGGGAGGAGACUGUAGGACAACACAAUAACAUCUGCAGUAACAGCCAGGCUUGUUAUUCCCCACACAUUCUACAGGGAGGAGACUGUAGGACAACACAAUAACAUCUGCAGUAACAGCCAGGCUUGUUAUUCCCCACACAUUCUACAGGGAGGAGACUGUAGGACAACACAAUAACAUCUGCAGUAACAGCCAGGCUUGUUAUUCCCCACACAUUCUACAGGGAGGAGACUGAACAGGCUGGUGUUCUGGAUGACAGUACUAGUAUGUCCAUGUGUCCAUGCCCUCAGAGCUGCUCUCAAUAUGCAGAUACACACAAUAACCAGGGCUGUAGGUGUUCUGUCUACACUACCAGGCUGUAGGUGUUCUGUCUACACUACCAGGCUGUAGGUAUUCUGUCUACACUACCAGGGCUGUAGGUGUUCUGUCUACACUACCAGGCUGUAGGUGUUCUGUCUACACUACCAGGCUGUAGGUGUUCUGUCUACACUACCAGGGCUGUAGGUGUUCUGUCUACACUACCAGGGCUGUAGGUGUUCUGUCUACACUACCAGGCUGUAGGUGUUCUGUCUACACUACCAGGCUGUAGGUGUUCUGUCUACACUACCAGGCUGUAGGUGUUCUGUCUACACUACCAGGCUGUAGGUGUUCUGUCUACACUACCAGGCUGUAGGUGUUCUGUCUACACUACCAGGCUGUAGGUGUUCUGUCUACACUACCAGGCUGUAGGUGUUCUGUCUACACUACCAGGCUGUAGGUGUUCUGUCUACACUACCAGGGCUGUAGGUGUUCUGUCUACACUACCAGGGCUGUAGGUGUUCUGUCUACACUACCAGGGCUGUAGGUGUUCUGUCUACACUACCAGGCUGUAGGUGUUCUGUCUACACUACCAGGGCUGUAGGUGUUCUGUCUACACUACCAGGCUGUAGGUGUUCUGUCUACACUACCAGGCUGUAGGUGUUCUGUCUACACUACCAGGCUGUAGGUGUUCUGUCUACACUACCAGGCUGUAGGUGUUCUGUCUACACUACCAGGCUGUAGGUGUUCUGUCUACACUACCAGGGCUGUAGGUGUUCUGUCUACACUACCAGGCUGUAGGUGUUCUGUCUACACUACCAAUGACAGACUGUUUACCAGGAGUCUGAUCAGUACAGUCCAGGGACCGACUGUUGUUUACCAGGAGUCUGAUCAGUACAGUCCCGGAACAGACUGUUUACCAGGAGUCUGAUCAGUAUAGUCCCGGAACAGACUGUUUACCAGGAGUCUGAUCAGCAGGGUGCAAUGUUACAGGGUAUUGGGAUAGAAAUGUAUUGUGGAACUUAUAUGUUGUCUGUAAUGUCCAGUAGAAUAGAGCAUUUUAAAAUGUCAGCUCUAUGGCAUUUCUAUCUGCGCUGUUCCUCCACAGUGUUUGUCUGCUGAGCGUGGCCCUGGCAGAGAUCCAGUCUCUUUCACCCUGGUGUUUGGUGGGUCUUAUUGAAUCUGAAGUCAGGAAAUGUGCUGUACUUGGUGAUCACACCAGUGAAUGAAUGUUUUUCAGUUGAAUGAGCAGGGGGGAAGCUCAGUGGUUGGUUGACUGUACAGAAUGUACUGUACUAGUUUACAAACUGUUUUUUUUUCAAUAAAAGGGUGUGACUAACCGAGAGGAACACUUCUGGGUCCUAAAGUUAGUCCUGUUAAAACUUGUUUUUUAAGCAAGCUCAUGUUUCUCUCCACUUUGUGUCUCUUG